AACGAACGCUGGCGGCGCGCCUAAUACAUGCAAGUCGAGCGAGAAGACGUAGCAAUACGUUUGUAAAGCGGCGAACGGGUGAGGAAUACAUGGGUAACCUACCCUCGAGUGGGGAAUAACUAGCCGAAAGGUUAGCUAAUACCGCGUACGCUCCUUGGACUUCGGUUCAGGGAGGAAAGCGAUACCGUGGGUAUCGCGCUCUUGGAUGGGCUCAUGUCCUAUCAGCUUGUUGGUGAGGUAACGGCUCACCAAGGCUUCGACGGGUAGCUGGUCUGAGAGGACGAUCAGCCACACUGGCACUGCGACACGGGCCAGGACUCCUACGGGAGGCAGCAGUAAGGAAUAUUGCGCAAUGGGCGAAAGCCUGACGCAGCGACGCCGCGUGGGGGA
rnacentral:rRNA from 1 species